rnacentral:rRNA from 1 species
UACGUAGGGUGCAGGCGUUUAAUCGGAAUUACUGGGCGUAAAGCGUGCGCAGGCGGUCUUUUAAGUCAGAUGUGAAAUCCCCGGGCUUAACCUGGGACUGCGUUUGAAACUGAAAGGCUAGAGUGUGGCAGAGGGGGGUGGAAUUCCACGUGUAGCAGUGAAAUGCGUAGAGAUGUGGAGGAACACCGAUGGCGAAGGCAGCCCCCUGGGCUAACACUGACGCCUCAUGCACGAAAGCGUGGGGAGCAAACAGG